rnacentral:sRNA from 1 species
CCGGAGGCCGAUGCCCACCCGGGAGCCCCCAAAGACUCGCGGCUCCCGGGGGCACCUGCAUACUCACCCGCCUGGGCCUGGGCCCCCGGUGAGCCUGACCGGGAGGGGGUCCCCAGGCCGGGCCUCUAGGCAAAAGAUUUAGUCCCCCCAGUUUGAGGGACUCCGGUUUCCCGACACCCCGAUUUAACUCCAGACCACGAUUCCUGUGGCAGCUGCAGGGACUGGCGCCCCGAGGCCUCAAAACCAGCGCCCCCCGCCCUCCGUGCCAGCCCCAGCCGGGACCCCACAAGGCAAAGACCAAGAAGAUUGUGUUUGAGGAUGAGUUGCUCUCCCAGGCCCUCCUGGGCGCCAAGAAGCCUAUUGGAGCCGUCCCUAAGGGGCAUAAGCCUAGGCCCCACCCAGUGCCCGACUAUGAGCUUAAGUACCCACCAGUGAGCAGUGAGAGGGAACGGAGCCGCUAUGUCGCAGUGUUCCAGGACCAGUACGGAGAGUUCUUGGAGCUCCAGCACGAGGUGGGGUGUGCACAGGCAAAGCUCAGGCAGCUGGAGGCCCUGCUGAGCUCCCUGCCCCCACCCCAAAGCCAGAAGGAGGCCCAAGUUGCAGCCCGGGUUUGGAGGGAGUUUGAGAUGAAGCGAAUGGUGAGUCUUGCAUCCCACAGCUUGGUCUUGCACCCCUGAGACUUUUCUGUGAGGCUGGGGUGCCUGUGCCCAGUUUCUUUUUUUUUCUUUGUUUUGAGACAGAAUCUCGCUCUGUCACCCAGGCGGGAGUGCAGUGGUAUGAUCUCAGCUCACUGCAACCUCAGCCUCCCGGGUUCCAGCGGUUCUCCUGCCUCAGCUGGGAUCA